AUUGAACGCUGGCGGCAUGCUUUACACAUGCAAGUCGAACGGUAACAGGCCUUCGGGUGCUGACGAGUGGCGAACGGGUGAGUAAUGCAUCGGAACGUACCCAGAGGUGGGGGAUAACGCAGCGAAAGCUGUGCUAAUACCGCAUGUGAUCUGAGGAUGAAAGCGGGGGACCGAGCAGCAAUGUUUGGCCUCGCGCCUUUGGAGCGGCCGAUGUCGGAUUAGCUAGUUGGUGGGGUAAAGGCCUACCAAGGCGACGAUCCGUAGCUGGUCUGAGAGGACGAUCAGCCACACUGGGACUGAGACAGGGCCCAGACUCCUACGGGAGGCAGCAGUGGGGAAUUUUGGACAAUGGGCGCAAGCCUGAUACAGCAAUGCCGCGUGCGGGAAGAAGGCCUUCGGGUUGUAAACAGCUUUUGGCAGGAACGAAACGGUGUCCGCUAAUACCGGGCGCUAAUGACGGUACCUGCAGAAUAAGCACCGGCUAACUACGUG
rnacentral:rRNA from 1 species